rnacentral:rRNA from 1 species
AGGACAAACGCUGGCGGGGUGCAUGAGACAUGCAAGUCGAACGAGGUGCCAUCGGGCUUGCUCGAUGGUUACCUAGUGGCGGACGGCUGAGUAACGCGUAGGUGACCUACCCGGAAGUGGGGAAUAACUGCCCGAAAGGGUGGCUAAUACCGCAUGUGGUCGGCGAUUCGAUUCGCCGUCUAAAGGAGCAAUUCGCUUCCGGAGGGCCUGCGUCCGAUUAGCUAGUUGGUGGGGUAACGCUCACCAAGGCGACGAUCGGUAGCUGGUCUGAGAGAUGAUCAGCCAGACUGGGACUGAGAACGCCAGACU